GAUGAACGCUAGCGAUAGGCUUAACACAUGCAAGUCGAGGGGCAGCGCGGAUAGCAAUACCUGUCGGCGACCGGCGCACGGGUGAGUAACGCGUAUGUAACCUGCCCGCAACAGGGGGAUAACCCGGCGAAAGUCGGACUAAUACCGCAUAAAACAGGGGUCCCGCAUGGGAAUAUUUGUUAAAGAUUUAUCGGUUGCGGAUGGGCAUGCGUACCAUUAGGUAGUUGGUGAGGUAACGGCUCACCAAGCCUUCGAUGGUUAGGGGUUCUGAGAGGAAGGUCCCCCACACUGGUACUGAGACACGGACCAGACUCCUACGGGAGGCAGCAGUGAGGAAUAUUGGUCAAUGGGCGAGAGCCUGAACCAGCCAAGUCGCGUGAAGGAUGACUGCCCUAUGGGUUGUAAACUUCUUUUACAAGGGAAUAAAAUGAGAUACGUGUAUUUUAUUGCAUGUACCUUGGGAAUAAGCAUCGGCUAACUCCGUG
rnacentral:rRNA from 1 species